rnacentral:misc_RNA from 1 species
GAUGAAGAACGCAGCGAAAUGCGAUAAGUAAUGUGAAUUGCAGAAUUCAGUGAAUCAUCGAAUCUUUGAACGCACAUUGCGCCCGCUAGUAUUCUGGCGGGCAUGCCUGUCCGAGCGUCAUUUCAACCCUCAAGCCCCCGGGCUUGGUGUUGGGGAUCGGCGAGCCUCCGCGCCCGCCGUCCCCUAAAUCUAGUGGCGGUCUCGCUGUAGCUUCCUCUGCGUAGUAGCACACCUCGCCCUGGGAAACAGCGCGGCCACGCCGUUAAACCCCCAACUUCUGAACGUUUGACCUCGGAUCAGGUAGGAAUACCCGCUGAACUUAAGCAUAUCAAUAAGCGGAGGA